GUUGUUUUUGCUCAAAAAUCCGGUACGUUUUGGUGUUGAUGUGAUGAUUCGCGGUGGUUUUGAGUGAAUCCGGUUCGGAUUUGUUGAUUUUGUGGUGAUUGGAGUUGAUUCUGAGCAGAUCCGGUUUAGAUCUGUUGAUUUUGGUGAUGAUGUGUUCUUGGUGUUCUUCCUCUUUUUUUCUGAGAUUUUUCUGUUUUGAUUCUGUUAUGGAUGAGAGAGAGAAAAAGAUUCUGUUUGAGACUGAUUGUGAUUGA
rnacentral:lncRNA from 1 species